AAUGAACGUUGGCGGCGUGGAUUAGGCAUGCAAGUCGUGCGCGAACUGUAGCAAUACAGGGAGAGCGGCGAAAGGGAGAGUAAUACAUAGGUACCUACCCCCGGGCCUGGGAUAGCGGCGGGAAACUGCCGGUAAUACCAGAUAACGUCCCCGGACCCAAGAUGUGACUUCACCUGGGGAGGGGCCUAUGGCCUAUCAGCUUGUUGGCAGGGUAACGGCCUACCAAGGCAAAGACGGGUAUGGGGCGUGAGAGCGUGCCCCCACUCACUGGGACUGAGACACUGCCCAGACACCUACGGGUGGCUGCAGUCGAGAAUCUUCGGCAAUGGGCGCAAGCCUGACCGAGCGACGCCGCGUGCGGGAUGAAGGCCUUCGGGUUGUAAACCGCUGUCGUAGGGGAGGAAGGGCCUGUGAAGAACAGGACUUGACCGAUCCUAGGAGGAAGGGCCGGCUAAUCUCGUGCCAGCAGCCGCAGUAA
rnacentral:rRNA from 1 species